rnacentral:rRNA from 1 species
UACGUAGGGUGCGAGCGUUAAUCGGAAUUACUGGGCGUAAAGCGUGCGCAGGCGGUUCGUUGUGUCGGCGGUGAAAGCCCCGGGCUCAACCUGGGAAUGGCCGUUGAAACUGGCGAACUGGAGUGUGGCAGAGGGGGGUGGAAUUCCGCGCGUAGCAGUGAAAUGCGUAGAGAUGCGGAGGAACACCGAUGGCGAAGGCAGCCCCCUGGGCUAACACUGACGCUCAGGCACGAAAGCGUGGGGAGCAAACAGG